AGUUUUACUGUAAUUUCUCGUCUUGCCAACAGACGGCGCAGUUCCGUCUAUUUUCAAUGCGCCGACGCUCACUGUGGCUUGGGUUGACAUAGAGGAAGUGAAACAUUUAUCCCUGGGAAUGACCACAAGGCGUGGGCUAAACAAGUCGCGUUUGUAACUGUUUCACCGCUUUUCAUUAACAGUUCGUAAACCGCUUUCAGUGAGCUGAAGAUGGACAUAUUUUAGCGAGUCCUAUGUGGAGGACAAGAGGGCAACAGCUGUCCGGCUAACGUUAACCCCGCUAGCAGGCAAUCUUUAUGAAUCAAGCCCUGCUAUUCAACAUCACUGAAACACGACAACAUAGAGAAACACACACCGACUGCAGCAUGAACGAUGAUGUGAUGUUAAAUGUACCGGUCAUCCGGCAGAUGUACCACUGGGAUUGUGGCUUGGCCUGUUCGAGAAUGGUUCUAGAGUAUUUACAUCCAGUGAGUGAGGAGGAAUUUCAGAGAGCAUGUUUGGACUUGGAGUUUACGGAGAGCGUGUGGACUAUUGACCUGGCUUAUCUCAUGUGUAAGCUGGGGGUCAGACACCGCUUCUGCACACAGACGCUCGGUGUGGACAAGGGCUUCAAGAACCAGUCUUUCUACAAAAAGCAUUUUGAUACUGAGGAGGACAGGGUGAAUGAACUAUUUCUGAAGGCUGAAAGCAAAGGAGUCCUGGUGAAAAAAUGCUCUGUUACGGUUCAGGAGAUCCAGAGCCACCUGGAGCAGGGUCAUGUGGCCAUCGUGCUGGUCAACGCAGUAGUGUUGGUGUGUGAGCUGUGUUCCACGCCUGUCAAAUACUGCUGUUUCCUCCCUGUGGGUCAGAAGUGCUUUUGCAGGAAGCCUGAUUACCAGGGCCACUUUGUGGUGGUGUGUGGAUUUAACCGUAAAACUGGCAGCAUCUUUUACAACAACCCUGCCUACUCGGACCGUAUGUAUUGUGACGUUUUGGCAUUAUUCUUAAAGACAGCACAAGCACAAUGUUAAUACAAAACAUUAAAAAAAAACACACACACAGGGUUUAAAUGGUUAAAUACAUAAUAAUAAUAUUAAUAAAUAUUAAUUCAAAUAUUUCAAUAAAAAUACUUGGAUACUUUAAGUAUCCAAAUAAAAUAUUUAUUUAUUUUUUUAAAAUUUCCAAAUACUUUUUUGAGACCACUUACAUCUUAGACCCAAUAGCCUUAUUUAUUAUAAUAAUGUUUAUUAUGGUUAUUUUUAAAUAAAUAGUUCAACCAAAAAUGAAAAUUUGCUAAAAACAUUUUCCAUGAUGUAGAUUGUUCGUUUCUUCAUCAGAAUAGAUUUGGAGAAGUUUAGCAUUACAUCACUUGCUUAUCAAUGGAUGAAUGGGUGCCGUCAGAAUGAGAGUCCAAACAGCUGAUAAAAACAUCACAAUAAUCCACGAGUAAUACUCUAGUCCACCAAUAAACAUCUUGAGAAGUAAAAAGCUGAGUGUUUUUGUAUGAAACAAAUCCAUUAAGGCAUUUUAACUUUAAACAGACUGGAGUCGUAUGGAUUACUGUGCUGUUUUUAUCAGCUGUUUAGACUCUUGUUCUGACGGCACCCAUUCACUUCAGAGGAUCCACUGAUAAGCAAGUGAUGUAAUGCUAAACUUCUCCAAAUCUGUUGAAGAAACAAACUCGUGUACGUCUCAGAUGGUCUAAGGGUGUGUGCUGCACAAGCUUUAGUAAUUUCGAGGAGGCCAGAAGAAGCUACGGAACUGACGAGGAUAUUCUGUUCAUCUACAAAGACGGCUGAGUCUUGACAGCUUCUGAACGAACGAACAAACAAACAUUCAAAACACCUUUUGCAUUCACUGUGGUUGGCUGGGUAGCAUUUUUGCCAACAGGAACCAGUGCUGCUGGCCAAUAGCAGGUAGUAUGUGUCACCUCUGGCUAUGGUCUUCAUUAAAGCUAUAGCAUCGCACAAAGCAUUACUAUGGUGCUACAUUGGCCACAGAAUGAAAUAUUCACACAGAAAGGAAAGGGAAAUGCUAUAUGUAACUCAUCAUUAUUGUGAUGUGGACUUGUAUAUUUUUUAUCUAUAGCACAUAUGAUUUACAUAGUCUCUGCCACUGUAAGAAGAGGAGUGUACAUAAUGUUUUUCCAUUCAUGUAAAGAUAGAGACUUUGUGUUUGUUCAAGGUAACCUUGCAAAAUCAUGGGGUUGUGUUGAUUUUUGAUUUUAUUAUUUUUCUCUUGGAAGCCACUUAAUUAAUACAAUGAAAGGUUUUAAUUAUUGUAAAAGAGAAAAGCUGUUUUUAAAAACUCAGGUAAGAUUUGAUAAAUCCAGCAUGUUAAAUUAUAUCCCACUGUCGGGGAAAAAAGUUUCAUAGGUGCAAUACGUGUAGAUUCACUUCUCCAGGGGUUUCCUCGAGAACAAAAUCACCUGGACGUCUGUCAUAACCUCAUGUAGAGUAGCAAGAGAGUGUUUGCUGCUUUGUGGGCGACUGAACUGCAAAACCUUGAUCAUAAAGUACAUUUUAAACUCGCUCAUAGCACUAGUACAGUAUUAGACCUGUUUCUGUGUAAUUUACUGUAUUACGUUGUUAAAUUCUCAUGAUUAUAUUGUGUUGGCGUAAUUCGUAGUACCUACACUUUAUUAAUUCCUCCGAGAGAGAACAGGAACACUAGGGUUAAGAGUUUUACCGUCAGGUGUUGUGCACCGUUUAAAAAGGUCUGAACACAGUGUUAUGAAUGCUUUGCUGUUUGCUAUCUUGUAAACACUACGCCUGCUCAGUGGUUCAAUUGUCGAUGGUUUUGACACAAUGGCUGGCAAAUGAAAUGCUUGCACUGUUAUUCCACCAGCCAUAAUUGUUAUUUAAUCUUUGAUCAUUCAGGUUAAAUGUUAAUUUGUUGUUGUUUUUUUUUUUCUUUGAUUUUUAA